GCUGGUUUAGCUCAUCUGGUAGAGCUCCUGACUUGUAAUCAGGAGGUAACGGGUUCAAGUCCUGUAGCCAGCA
rnacentral:tRNA from 1 species